AUGCAAGGCCUCGCAGCAACUUCCAAGCUGUCACUGGCCGUCGUGGCCGCGGUGCUUCUGCUGUGCUCGUCGGCGGGUGCCGCCCACGGCCUGAGGAGGGUCGUCUCCAGCAGCUCCGACGAGCCGUGCAACGAGAUGACGCUCUACUACCACGACAUCCUCUACAACGGCAACAACACGCGGAACGCGACGUCCGCGGCGGCCACCAAGCCCACGGCGCCGAGCACGACCCACUGGAAGAACGGCACCUACUUCGGCACGGGCUUCUACUUCUACGACAAGCAGGAGUCUUACACCUCGUGGUUUGGUUUCUCCAUUGUCUUCAACUCCACGGCGCACAAGGGCACCAUGAACCUCGUCGGCGCGGACCUCAUGGAUGACAAGACGCGGGACCUCUCCGUCGUCGGCGGCACUGGCGAUUUCUUCAUGGCGCGCGGCAUCGCCACGCUCCGGCUCGAUGCCUCCGAGGGAACCGUCUACUUCCGUCUGCAGAUGGACAUCAAGCUCUACGAGUGCUACGUCUGA
rnacentral:rRNA from 1 species